rnacentral:lncRNA from 1 species
AAAGAUUGAAUCAACCUCAAGUCCAUAUAUGGAUGACUUAAAAUGAAUAAGAAAUGGUCAACUAAGUCAAUAACUCAAGUCAAAAGCAUCAAGUAUAUCAAAAGUCAAACAAAAAUGAAUUUAAAAUUAAUUAAAAAGGGAAAUUAAAGAGAAAAUCUCAACCUAUGAUCAAAAUGAUUCAAAAAUGGUUGCAAAAAUUACAUAAAAUCUCAAAUAUUAUGCAUGAAUAGAUCUCAAACGUUGGAUGCGAGAAUGUUUUGAAAUGAUUAAAAAAUAAAUUGAAAAAUGAAAUAAAAAAAAUGAAAUAAAAAUAACAAUAAAU